CCAGGGACCUGUAGGCAGGUGGAGAGGGGAUGGGGGAGGUCUCAGGUCCUCUUGCUCACCCAUCAGCUGUGUAGUGUCUGAAGUGAUUAAGGAGCUUGGGGAGAGCCCUGAAUGGGAAGAAAUGGGUUCCAUGUGCAGCAAGCCAGGAGAGAUUUAGGCAACGAGAACCUCCAGUUCUGUCUUAGGGUUCCCAGCUUUCUCCUUGUCCUGAGGGAGCCGCUGAGCCUGUGGGAGAUGAGGGGUGCCCAUUCCCCAGUGCUUCUCACCCUCCCCCACCUGCCCUCCUGGGGUACCUUUGUCUGCCACUUGCAUCCUAUUGGAAGCUGUCCCCAAGUGCGUGUUAGGCAGGUGGCAGGUGCUGGAGCAGAGUGCACCACCCUCCGGCGAUCACUGUGAGUUGGGGUAAGAGUGGGGUGUUCCUGCCAGCCCCAGGAGAGGGGAAAGCAAGCCCCCGUCCACCCUUGUGGGUCUCUGCUCCUGGAAAAGGUGCUCUAGCAGGCUCAUCUGUGUGAGUCACUGUCUUCCAUGUGGGGGGCUGUGCUGAAGAAGCCUUGGUGAUAUGGGUGCAAAUGCCAAAAACAUGGAAUGCUGGAAGCCAAGCUUGCACAUUCUAGGCAGCCAUUUGGAAGAUUCUUCUCUGCGCAUGACCAGCUGAAAAGGAAAAACCCCGAAACAUUGGCACUGUGAUUUCUCCAUGUGAACAGUUUAGUUCGCCGAGGUGGACAUGCCUCAUUCAUGCUUAUGGAGUGACCGACCAGCCUUUAGUGACACCCCCUGAAAUGUGAGUCAUCCAUGGGUCACUAGUCAUUGGAGAAGAGCCCCUUAUACAAAACUUGGAGCUCAGACCACAAACAACAACAACAAUCCAAAAAAUAAAAAAAUGAAAAAUUAGGAGCAGAGACUAAAUGGAAAGAUGGAAAUAUUAAAAUAAAAAUAUUAUUUUAAAAAUU
rnacentral:lncRNA from 1 species